AAGAAGGAGCGAGAGAGUUUCAGGGAGGUGGCAUGUUUUUUUCUUAGAACACAGCUGAGUUUUGUAAUCUUUUUUUACAACGUGAAAUUGGCCCAAGACAUGUUCGAUUCAGUGAAGCCGAGGACUUUGUUGAUCGCGUAAUAUGUCACACAGUCUGUAACUUUCUAAAAUCCCAAUGCUUUUUUAUUGUUGAAAAAAUAAAUGGCCAUUAAAAACUGGUGUCAGUUUCAUUAUUCUUUAUAGAGGCGAUACCUGUCGUCUUUGCACCUUUUAAGAAGUUACACAGUCGCACAGGAUAUUUCGUUUAAUGUUGGGAGGGCCGCUUGAACUCCAAGUUUUCAGCCAAGAACGUAGCAUUCCAGUGCAAAAUGAAGUUUUUUGCGUAAUUCAUACGGAUGACUAUUUUUGUGUUGCGGCCUUUUCUGGUACGUCUUCGAAUUUUUUAAAUUUCGUGUAUUCGCUGAACGAGGUUCAUAUUGGUGUCUUUUGUGACUAUCCCCUGUUUUUAGGUUCUAUAAAUGUCUAUUCUCUGAGUGUUCCAAGUCAAUUCCAGUUCAGGUUCGAAACAGUGGAUCCUUGUGUGCAUCGUUUGAUGUACUCCGAAGUCACAGACAGUGACAAUAGAGAGUGAAAAGAGAGAAGACUCUCUUUGCGUAGUGAGGUUGUAUAAAAAUUGGCGUUGUCCUAAAGACUUGUUGGUCGAUUUGAUUUCUUUUCCUCAUUCUGCGCUAUCGUGCGCAGUGAAUAGUAGAUAUCCGUUGGUUGCGGUUUCCUCGGAAUUUCAGGUAUCAUUGUACAAGAUAUUGGAUGAUGCAAUUGCUCACUGCUGGAUCUUGGAUUUAUUGGUGCCCGGUGCCAGAGAUUUGGUGUUUAGCGGAAACUACCUUGCGUACAUGUUUUUAAAUCAGGUUUUUUUUUUGAAACUGAACAUUAGUCGCAACAGGGAGGCAAACGAGUCAUUGUUUUCAGAGGGACGUGCAGAUGUAUCGGAGGCCGCCCUGAAUUCGGCGCUUGGGAGCGCUGGGAGCGAUGGUAAAGGAUACGAGAGGCAGUGCAUAAAGUUUGACAGGCCAUUUGAGCCGUCUUCUUAUCAGAGUUUGGGAAGUGGUCGCGAAGACGAUAGCAAUGAAAUCGAAGAAGCCGAGAUGGAUGAGUACGGUUUGUCUCUUUCUAUUGAUGAAUUGGAUACAAUGCCUUACAUGAAUCUUCCUGCGUUACAGCCCGAUUCAGAGGCUAGGCCAAAAGUCGCUAGAGAGAUCAAAAAUCUCGGUUAUGAUGUUCACGCGUAUUUGGUUGCUUCCGAUCUUGGAUACGCGGUAAACUCGAUGUUGUUGUUUUUCAAGGAUAUGGGAGACGAAUCGAUUGUAUGUGUGACAUGCGUACUGGAUGAUCGUGGCUCGUCUUUGAAGUUGGUUGUAUCUACGGAGCGCAAAGGAUAUCUUUAUUACAUCGCGGACGACAGAGUCACGGCGGGAAAGGUGUUUAAUUAUGCGAGCAUUGCGCGUGGCGCGAGUAUGAGCGCGAUGUUUCUCUACGUCUGGACCGAAUCGGGCUUGGAAGUUCAUUGGGUGCCACCAUUGGGUUCAUGCCUCCGAGAGAGCGAAGCAUCGAUUGUCAGCGUUACGCAUAUCGAUCGUAUUUUGUCAAUGGUCUGUUGCGAAAAGCAGUGCGUAUCCGUGUGUUUAGUUGGACCUGGUGAUGGAGAAGAAGGCAGGUCUGGGUGUCGGACAGAGGAGUGGGAGCGAGAGGGAUUAGACUUGCCGUCCGCAUCUUUGAUCGCGAUGAGAAUGGAGACAUUCAGCGACUUAUUCGACCAGUUGAAAAGGCAAGUCGACGUUCUUUGCAAGGAAAAAAAUUCAUUGAUCCAAAAUUAUGCGUCCGUUAUGCACACUUUUCUCGACUGUUACGACAUGAGCUCCGCGCAGGUUGCACUCGAAGACGUACCCGCCAUGUACAGAGUAUGUGGCGAUAUUGAGUACAGGGCAGGCGCUUACAUGGGGUCCGUUAUCAGCUGGACCAAAGGUGAAGUUGAAAUACAGCAAGUCCUGCUUAGGCUUGUGGUCGCCUUUGAAGAGAGCGAGCUCGAAGCGAGGAACGCGAUCAAAAAGGCGCUCGGUUUCUAUUUGGAAGACGUUUUAAAUAAGGGGCUGGUGACAAGGCAUCUGUGCACUGAUAGUCAACAGAGAAAGUGCAUUGAUAACGUGUUCAAAAUUAUUUACGAAAAUCUAACGGUCAUCAGCGAAUUAAUUCUUCGAAGCGUUUCGUCUGUGUAUGACGUUCGAAAUACAGCGGAGAUGCUCGAGAGCGAAUACAUGAAGCUCCAGCAUUCGCCAGAGGCUCUCUUAUCGGGUCAAGAGUUGCUUUUGACCGACACUUCGAAUCGUUACGGCUCGACCGCCGAAAGUUUAGGCGAUCGCAUGUCAGAGGAGAUGAAUUUGGUCAGGCUCGCUAUAGCGAUUCUUUAUUUGAAUUUGAAGGAAGUCACGUCGGCAGUGAGGUUUUUGUCGAUGAUUCGGGAAUCUUUUAUCAUAACUUACCUGGUUCAACAUUCAUCACUUCUGUUUCAGACUGAUAGCGAAGAAGCGUCCACUUGCGCAGAAAAUGCUGGAUUUUCCGAGUUGGCGCUGCACUUGCUUCAGCUCAACCCGUGGGCCCUACUGGAAGUCUUCGUACGCCUGGAAUCCGUUUCGGCUGAUCUGGUCGAGCUCCUUUUCAAGCACCAUGAAAAUCCUGCGUCGAUGUUGGCUUUUUACUAUGAAGCGCGUCUGUCAUCUGUUUUGAAUGAGCCCCGCGGAGACGAAGAGGUGUCUAAAAUGCUGAUGUACAAAUUGGCGAAAACAUUUGUAUUGCAACUUCGACUUCCUAAUUCGCUUCGCCGUCAACUUUAUUCACAACUGCUAAGCUCCGAAGCGUGUCAUUCUUCGCAUGAUGGUUGCGGCCACGCCCCUCAUACGUGCGAAGCACGUUAUAAGCGCUUUCAUCUCCAGUACUUGAUUAACGAAAACGUUUCGUACUUGUGCGACUUGAAGUCUUUUUCUUCCGGGUCCGUCGCCCGAGAAGUGGGUUCGGCCGAGGCGACAGUCGAUCCGGAUCGCCCCUCAAUCCACGGUUUUCCUUCGCACGAAGAUGGCGCUCUCUUUUUUUUGUUCAAGAUCCGGGGCCUGCUCUGCAAGAUGCUCUCGUUGCAGACCGAAGAACAGAACCGGGAAUACGCCCCGGUGUUCGAGUUUUUAUUCGAGUCGAUGGCGAGUUACGGAGAAAGCUCGUUGGACGUGGAGAUCGUCCGAUUUUUGUCCAAAGUAGGUCUGGGCGACUUGGAAUACGUGCUGGAUUUCGUCUCGAGGCACUACUCUCAAAAGGCAACCGAAUUUAUUUUGCUUCACCAAAGGACAAAAGCUAGUCGAACACGGGCCAUAGGUCUGGUUUUGGAGCUUCUUAGAGACGAAACGAAGCUCGCUCAGCACCGCCUUUGCGUUGAAAUUUUGAGGGCACUGCUUUUGGAUGCAGCCGAAACCCUAGACACGGUCGAGUUUUUCAACUUGCUUCCAGAUGACGGCAGUUUAGAUUUUUUUUUAACAUACAUGGAAUUGAAUCUGUCAACAUUGCGGGCCUCGCAGCUGGAAAUAAAAAAAGCGGCUCGCUAGUUUUUUCCUCUGUUCCAAAAGGCGCGGAAAGCGCGAGGUUGUCGUGCUCGCAGGGAGGGACGUCAAAGGGUUUUGCCUGCGUAUGCAGCUAUGAGAGAGGUUAUUUUUUUUG